UGUACAACACGGUGACCUGAUAUUUGUACCCACUGCAAAAUGAUCAUCACAGUGAGUCUAGCUUCUGUUUGCGAAGUGAGCCGCUGCACUUCUGUUUCUCCAAACGCCCUUCUGUCUCCCUAGCCGCACGCCUGUUUACCUCCGCCUCAUUCUGACGGUUCUCUCGCCGUCUCUACACGGCAGGCUGCCGUCAGGUGCAUGCCUCAGCUGUCAUCCUCUGGACUAUGCAUAGAACUUGCUAAAUGGCCUCUGCGCUUAGAGCUGCACAAUAAAAAUGCUGACGAA